GAUGAACGCUGGCGGCGUGCCUAAUACAUGCAAGUCGAGCGAACAGACGAGGAUCUUGCUCCUCUGACGUUAGCGGCGGGCGGGUGAGUAACACGUGGAUAACCUACCUAUAAGACUGGGAUAACUUCGGGAAACCGGAGCUAAUACCGGAUAAUAUAUUGAACCGCAUGGUUCAAUAGUGUAAGACGGUUUUGCUGUCACUUAUAGAUGGAUCCGCGCCGCAUUAGCUAGUUGGUAAGGUAACGGCUUACCAAGGCAACGAUGCGUAGCCGACCUGAGAGAGGGAUCGGCCACACUGGAACUGAGACACGGUCCAGACUCCUACGGGAGGCAGCAGUAGGGAAUCUUCCGAAAAGGGCGAAAGCCUGACGGAGCAACGCCGCGUGAGUGAUGAAGGUAUUCGGAUCGUAAAACUCUGUUAUUAGGGAAGAACAAAUGUGUAAGUAACUAUGCAAGUAUUGACGGUACCUAAUCAGAAAGCAACGGCUAACUACGUG
rnacentral:rRNA from 1 species